GGAUUCUUUAUCGUCUGCUAGCGAAAAAUCGAGUUCGAAUGUGGAUCAAGGGAGCAUUAGAUCCUCUGCUGAUGAGGGCAUCAAGCAAAGAAAUGGCUUGUUUGAGGAUUCUUUGUCAUCUGCUAGUGAUCAGCACUCAAGUUUAAUUAAGAUCAGCAGAGUGGUGUGUGCUGUCAUAGCUUUAGAUCUUGUGCUGAUGAUUCCAACAGCCAAGUAGAUGAUUCCAUGGCUCUAGUUGUGGUUGAUACGCC